CAUCACAAGGUGCUGCAAUCCAGAAUGGAGAAAGGCAUGAGGAGGAGACACACUGACAGACUGUUACUGUAAUUCAGUCUGAGCGUUGGGUUACCUUAAUAAUUAGGAUGAGAGGACACUUGCCAUUUGCCUCAUGCUCACCCAGGAGGCCCAGUGGGAAGUCCAACGAAAGCUUUGCUGUGGAUUUUUGGGAUUUCUGAGUGUGUAAUUCACCUAAUUCUCUACCAUGGGUUGCAUUGGACAUGUACAACUAUUUUUUCAAGGCAUUUUCCAGAAAGACGUUAUUUUUUUCUGAAGGGUUUGAUCUAAUGCAGAUCAAAUCUGCAUGUUUCACAGCGGCCAAAAUUUUUUUGUCUAAAAAA